rnacentral:rRNA from 1 species
UCCCUAUGGGGUGCAGCAGUCGCGAAAACUUUGCAAUACACGAAAGUGUGACAAGGCUAUCCCGAGUGCCAUCCGCUGAGGAAGGCUUUUACCCAGUAUAAAUAGCUGGGAGAAUAAGGAGAGGGCAAGUCUGGUGUCAGCCGCCGCGGUAAUACCAGCUCUCCGAGUAGUGUGGAUGUUUAUUGGGCCUAAAGCAUCCGUAGCUUGCUAUACAAGUCCCCUGUUAAAUCCACCGAUUUAAUCGGUGGAUUGCGGGGGAUACUGUUUGGCUAGGGGACGGGAGAGGCCGACGGUAUUUCCGGGGUAGGGGUGAAAUCCUAUAAUCCCGGGAGGGCCACCAGUGGCGAAGGCUGUCGGCUAGAACGCGCCCGACGGUGAGGGAUGAAAGCUGGGGGAGCGAACCGGAUUAGAUACCCGGGUAGUCCCAGCUGUAAACGAUGCAGGCUAGGUGUUUGGGCGGCCACGAGCCGCCCUAGUGCCGCAGGGAAGCUGUUAAGCCUGCCGCCUGGGGAGUACGGCCGCAAGGCUGAAACUUAAAGGAAUUGGCGGGGGAGCACCACAAGGGGUGAAGCUUGCGGUUUAAUUGGAUUCAACGCCGGAA